rnacentral:lncRNA from 1 species
ACGGAUUUUAUUUCAGUAUCCCGAAAUCACUAUUCUUUUUCACGAAAAAUACCAAAUCAACUUAUUAUUUUUUUAUCCUUUGGUCAAACAUAUAUACAUGUAUUUCAUACAUAAAAAAUAUUUUUCCAUAAUUUUUCAAUUUCUUUUACUAUUUUUCAAAAAUCAUAAAUAGUGCGUGACUUAAGAAAAUUAGCUACCUCGUGCUUAACUCCAGAGAUGCCCAUCUUUUGACAUAACCUUAUAUAUGUUAACGUGAUGCUCCAUUUUAAAUUUCGUGGCAAUCGGAGUUGUAGAACUCUGGUUAUAGCGAUUUCCGUCGGAAAAUCACAAAAAUUAGAAUAGUCAUAACUUGGCCGUUUUAACUCGGAAUUAGCUCAUUUUUGGACACGAGCUACAUAAUACCACAUAUUUUCAUUUCCCGAAAGCCCGGAAUUUUUCUCACAAAAUAAAUUACCGAAACAGCCUCCGGAAAAUUUUUGGCAGUUUACUUUUGCACAUAUGCAGUUUUGGAGUCCUUUACCAAAACUUAAAUAAAAUGAAAUCUAUAACUCCGAUUAAUGAUCCGUCAAUUUUGUUGGAUUCCUAUCUUUCCGAACUACAGUUUUCAUCUAUCACAAUCCAUAUUUGGACAUGUUAAGCUCCCAGAAAUUAGCCCGGAAGUGGCUGUUCAAAACUGUCCUUCUAACAGUUUUCUUAACUUUGAGUAGUUUGGGAGAAAUUUCAUAACUCUCUCCUCCGAUGUCGGAUUUAGUCCGUUUCGGAGUCUAUGGAAAGCUUAUUGAGUGUACUACAACAUAUCAAAAGUCCAGAAUUUUUAGACCAUCCAAACAAAUUCGGAAUUUACUGUUUAGGGGCAGCAGUUACCAAUUCAUUUUAAAAAAAACUGUUUUGCUUUUCUUUCUCUUGAUCAAGCUUGUCGACCCUAAAAAUGGCAUGAUCUAACCAUAAAACAUCAUAUAUCAUGUAGAUCUAUAGUUCUCAUGUUCAGGAUCAUAAACUUCAUGGUUCAAAAUAACCAAAAAUCAAAUACAAGAUUAAACACAUUCAAGAGUAAGAAAAAUAAGAUUUCCUACACCUUAAAAACCUAGCUUCACUUUUCUUGCUUUUGAUCUAUCUUUUGAAACAUAAAAUAGAUAGAUCCACACAUAAAACACUCUAAAUCAUGUAGAUCUAGAGUUUUGAAGAUCAAAACUCAUUAUUUUGACAAAAAUCAAACACAUAAACUAAUUAGAGUUUUGUGUUUAAGAAUUCUUAUACCUUGCUUUGAUUUUCUUUCUUCUUCAAAGAUAUGAGAUGGAUCUUGGGGUGUUGUUCUUGGCUUGCUACAUGAUAAUCCUAGCUCAUCUUCUCUCUCUUUUCUCUCUCUCUCUCUCUCUCUCUAAACUUAGCCAAUUUGGCUAAAAUGAAUAUAAGUAAAUUUUGAUUUUGCUUAUAUAGAAGUUACUUUCAAUUUUUUAUAAGUUAGUCACCCAACUUAAAUCUUCUCUAGUCUUCCCCCUAGUCUUUAAAAGCUUGCAAAUCACCCCUUGGCAUAUUCUUAGCAUAUUCUCUAGAAUAUUCUUUAUUCCUUAGCAUAUUCCUUAAGAUAUUUCUUAAGUUUCAAAUAUUAACUUUUUAACCCUAAGGUUUUCUUAACUCGCACAAUUCCCCCUUAACUUUUAUAAUUCACUUACAUAUUUUUUUAAGUUAUUUAAUUACUCAAUCUUAGUAACUUAAUUUAAUCAAAUAAGUUACUACAUAAAUCUCCUUAAUUUAUUUUACCCUCUUGGAAUCCUAUAAUUUAUAUAACCCAUAUUUGAUAUAUAAAUUAUAUAAAAU